CACGUAGUUAGCCGGGGGCUUUCUCGUGAGGUACCGUCACCGCGCCGCCCUCUUCGAACGGCGCUCCUUCGUCCCUCACAACAGAGCUUUACGGCCCGAAGGCCUUCUUCGCUCACGCGGCGUCGCUCCGUCAGGCUUUCGCCCAUUGCGGAAGAUUCCCUACUGCUGCCUCCCGUAGGAGUCUGGGCCGUGUCUCAGUCCCAGUGUGGCCGGUCACCCUCUCAGGCCGGCUACGCAUCGUCGCCUUGGUGAGCCGUUACCUCACCAACUAGCUAAUGCGCCGCGGGCCCAUCCGCAAGUGACAGCCCAAAGGCCGCCUUUCAACCGAAGACCAUGCGGUCUUCGGUGUUAUCCGGUAUUAGCUCCGGUUUCCCGGAGUUAUCCCGGUCUUGCGGGCAGGUUGCCCACGUGUUACUCACCCGUCCGCCGCUGACCGAAUCAAGGCAAGCCCCAAUCCGGUCCGCUCGACUUGCAUGUAUUAGGCACGCCGCCAGCGUCGUCCUCGCGCGACGAUACAACGUACUCU
rnacentral:rRNA from 1 species